UACAGGGGGUGCAAACGUUGCUCGGAAUUAUUGGGCGUAAAGCGCGCGUAGGCGGCUACUUAAGUCGGAUGUGAAAGCCCUUGGCUUAACUGAGGAAGUGCACCCGAAACUGAGUGGCUAGAGUACGAAAGAGGGUCGCGGAAUUCCCGGUGUAGAGGUGAAAUUCGUAGAUAUCGGGAGGAACACCGGUGGCGAAGGCGGCGACCUGGGUCGAUACUGACGCUGAUGCGCGAAAGCGUGGGGAGCAAACAGG
rnacentral:rRNA from 1 species